GAUGAACGCUGGCGGCGUGCCUAAUACAUGCAAGUCGAGCGAACGGACGAGAAGCUUGCUCCUCUGAUGUUAGAGGCGGACGGGUGAGUAACACGUGGAUAACCUACCUAUAAGACUGGGAUCACUUCGGGAAACCGGAGCUAAUACCGGAUAAUAUUUUGAACCGCAUGGUUCCAAAGUGAAAGACGGUCUUGCUGUCACUUAUAGAUGGAUCCGCGCUGCAUUAGCUAGUUGGUAAGGUAACGGCUUACCAAGGCAACGAUGCAUAGACGACCUGAGAGGGUGAUCGGCCACACUGGAACUGAGACACGGCCCAGACUCCGACGGGAGGCAGCAGUAGGGAAUCUUCCGCAAUGCGCGAAAGCCGGACGGAGCAACGCCGCGUGAGUCAUGAAGGUCUUAGGAUCGUAAAACUCUGUUAUUAGGGGAGAACAUAUGUGUAAGUAACUGUGCACAUCUUGACGGUACCUGAUCAGAAAGCCACGGCUAACUACGUG
rnacentral:rRNA from 1 species